UGGAAAAGGAGAGAUGGGCUCUGGGUUCUACCUUUGCUCACUGGACCAAGGAAUCCUGGAAAGUGGUCCUGGCAGGACUGAUUGCCAGGCUGAAUACAAUCAGGGUCCCACUAGUAAGGAGGGGAGAAAGGAAAUAACACAGAUAGUUAUCUGCAGUAAUUGGCAUUAGGAAAAAAAACUUGACAAAGACUGACAAGCUCUGUUCCACUCCUGCCAUUUAAAGAAAAACACACACACGCAUAAAAACACCAAGUGGCCUCAGAUGGGCAGCACUCCUCCUGACCCUGGGCUUCAGAAAUUUUCACUGGGAGUCUGAUGAGGCUCAGCCACAGUUGUGUGGGACUGUUCUCAAUUUCAAGCAGAGGAGCAGAGAAAGCUGGUGUUCCAUCAUGAGAAUUAGGCUAAAAGUCUUAGCUUACUGCCCCAUGGAAGGAAGGACAAAUAGCAAUGACCAAGCAACGUAUUUUUAGCUUUGAGGCCAAAAUUGGCUGAAAAUGACAGAAGCAGUUACUUCAGAGAAAAUGAUUUUUUGCAGUUCUGCAUAAAUUUGAAGAGGUAAACCUGGAUUGCUGAGAACAAUGAGUUAUAUGCAGUGGACUAGAGGAAGAUGCAUAUUCAACCAUGU
rnacentral:lncRNA from 1 species